rnacentral:rRNA from 1 species
AGGACGAACGCUGGCGGCGUGCUUAACACAUGCAAGUCGAGCGGUAAGGCCCUUUCGGGGGUACACGAGCGGCGAACGGGUGAGUAACACGUGAGCAAUCUGCCCUUCACUUCGGGAUAAGCCUUCGGAAACGGGGUCUAAUACCGGAUAUGACUGCGCCAUGCAUGUGGUGUGGUGGAAAGUUCUGGCGGUGAGGGAUGAGCUCGCGGCCUAUCAGCUUGUUGGUGGGGUAAUGGCCU